CAGGGAAUCUUGCGCAAUGGGCGAAAGCCUGACGCAGCAACGCCGCGUGGGGGAUGAAGGCCUUCGGGUUGUAAACCCCUUUCAGGAGGGAAGAAAUUGACGGUACCUCCAGAAGAAGGACCGGCCAACUACGUGCCAGCAGCCGCGGUAAUACGUAGGGUCCUAGCGUUAUCCGGAAUCAUUGGGCGUAAAGAGCUCGUAGGCGGUUCAGCAAGUCGGCUGUGAAAGUCCGAGGCUCAACCUCGGAAUUGCAGUCGAUACUGCUGUGACUCGAGUCCGGUAGAGGAGAAUGGAAUUCCCGGUGUAGCGGUGAAAUGCGCAGAUAUCGGGAGGAACACCAGUAGCGAAGGCGGCUCGCUGGGCCAUUCCUGACGCUGAGACGCGAAAGCGUGGGGAGCAAACAGGAUUAGAUACCCCCGUAGUCC
rnacentral:rRNA from 1 species